rnacentral:lncRNA from 1 species
CCAGGAUUUAGUGUCCGGGCUGUUUUUUUUUCAGCCGAUUUGCACAGCUACAGGAUUAUGCUCCAUGUAGAAGAUACCAAAUCAUUGAUCUUGCUUCUCUUCCUGAAUGCUGAUGGCAAUGGGUAUUGAAUGCAAGAGGAAAAAAAAAACCGUGAUGCUUGUGCAUGCAAAUGCUUCUCCAAGUGGGCUUCUAGAAAACAUUUUGAAGUUUUUCCUGGAAGAACAGCUUUAUCAAGUAGCAGCACAUCCAGUAGAAAAGAGAAGGCCCUUUGGACACAUGAUGACUGCAGCAGGGAUGAUUGUAAAGAGAAGCUAUACCUGCAGUUUUACCAACAGAUGCAGCAAGAAUAUGAUGGAGAGAGACCUGACUGUGUCAUUGUUGCCAUCAGCAAGGAGCAAAAGUAGUUUCUGUUACAAUCUUUCAGCUAAUUCUGUUACAGAAACGAUAGCUACAUAG